GAUGAACGCUCGCGAUAGGCUUAACACAUGCAAGUCGAGGGGCAGCAUGGUCUUAGCUUGCUAAGACUGAUGGCGACCGGCGCACGGGUGCGUAACGCGUAUGCAACUUGCCUCACAGAGGGGGAUAACCCGUCGAAAGACGGACUAAUACCGCGUACACUUGGGAUAGGGCAUCCUGACCCAAGGAAAUGAAAUUCGCUGUGAGAUAGGCAUGCGUCCCAUUAGCUAGUUGGUGAGGUAACGGCUCACCAAGGCGACGAUGGGUAGGGGAACUGAGAGGGUGAACCCCCACACUGGUACUGAGACACGGACCAGACUCCUACGGGAGGCAGCAGUGAGGAAUAUUGGUCAAUGGGCGAGAGCCUGAACCAGCCAAGUCGCGUGAAGGAUGACUGUCUUAUGGAUUGUAAACUUCUUUUAGACGGGAAUAACAAGAGUCACGUGUGGCUCCCUGCAUGUACCGUAUGAAUAAGCAUCGGCUAACUCCGUG
rnacentral:rRNA from 1 species